UAAUCUCUUUGUUCUCUCACGGGGACGAAUCGACGCCGAGCGUGGAUGAACCGACGCCGACGAUCGCCGGUGUAGGUUCAUUGCCGGUGCUUUGCAUUCGGAUCAUUGCUUCGUGUGAGUAGAGCUUCGAUCAGGAAGGGGGUCCUAGCCCUAGCCUCGAUCCUCCUCUGUUCUUGGUGUUGUGCCCUAGCUCUGAAUUUCACCUCCUUGUCAGAGCAAUGGGGUUCCGACAAUGAGACAGCGAGGGUUACGGGAUUGGAGAAGAAGAAGAGUGAGGUUUUGUUCUGUGGGGAUUCGAUUGAAGAGGUGUUUAUUGAGUUGUGGUUUGUGCUUGAUCAGUAGUGUUUCCG